rnacentral:rRNA from 1 species
GAACGAACGCUGGCGGCAUGCCUAACACAUGCAAGUCGAACGAUGCCUUCGGGCAUAGUGGCGCACGGGUGCGUAACGCGUGGGAAUCUGCCUUUCGGUUCGGAAUAACUCAGGGAAACUUGAGCUAAUACCGGAUAACGUCGCAAGACCAAAGAUUUAUCACCGAAAGAUGAGCCCGCGUAGGAUUAGCUAGUUGGUGAGGUAAAGGCUCACCAAGGCGACGAUCCUUAGCUGGUCUGAGAGGAUGAUCAGCCACACUGGGACUGAGACACGGCCCAGACUCCUACGGGAGGCAGCAGUGGGGAAUAUUGGACAAUGGGCGAAAGCCUGAUCCAGCAAUGCCGCGUGAGUGAUGAAGGCCUUAGGGUUGUAAAGCUCUUUUACCCGGGAAGAUAAUGACGGUACCGGGAGAAUAAGCCCCGGCUAACUCCGUG